rnacentral:rRNA from 1 species
UACGUAGGGUGCAAGCGUUAAUCGGAAUUACUGGGCGUAAAGCGUGCGCAGGCGGUUAUAUAAGUCAGAUGUGAAAUCCCCGGGCUCAACCUGGGCACUGCAUUUGAGACUGUAUGGCUAGAGUGUGUCAGAGGGGGGUAGAAUUCCACGUGUAGCAGUGAAAUGCGUAGAUAUGUGGAGGAAUACCGAUGGCGAAGGCAGCCCCCUGGGAUAACACUGACGCUCAUGCACGAAAGCGUGGGGAGCAAACGAGGAUACGAA